GGCCACUCCCACAGGCCCUUCUCAUUCUCCUGCUUGCUUGGGUCUCUUCCACCCCCAGCAACUAGGACUCCCACAGGCCACUUCCCUUUUGGUUUUUGUGGGUUUUUUAAACUCACAGAUGCUAUUCCUUUCCCAUUAGGUCAGAGGUCCCUUGAGAAUGGGGACGUUAAAACCUCACAGCGAGCGUGGCGUGGGAGAAAAUCAGAGGGGUAGAAUAAGGCAUGUAGAAUCUGGACUCCGAUUUCUGUCAGAAUUCACACUCCUGGCGGACAUACUCCCUGUGGUUUGUGUGGUGUUGAACAAGUCGUGGACCUCUCCCAGCCUCAGCUUCCAGAUCUGUAAAGUCAGACAAGAAUUGGACCCACCUCACAGGCUUGUUGGAGGAUCGCCCAGCUCUACGUCUUCUGAAGCACUCUGUGAACUCCCAAGCGCCUCGCAAACGGUUUCCUAGGGAGGACUGGGACACAUGGCCACGUCUAGGCAAAUCACUGGCAAGAGGACCGAAAUCACCAAUCGUGACUCCUCUCCUGCGAUCUGGGGCGGGUCCAGCCUCCUCUGAUAGAUGAUCUAAAGGAGAACGAAGGGCUGGUUUUUACCAUCUGGAUCCUAGUGUAUAUUUGUGAUCAUCCUAUAAUAAGCUUGUAAUUGUGUUAUAAUAAGUCUGCAUUUCGGACUCUUUCACAUGCUUGAGCCGUGACUACAGCAUUACUCAAGGCACAUUGCCAACACUGAGUCCGAAUGACCUUGCCCCUUUUAUAGCUGCUAGAGGAAGGAGGCAGUCUCCUGCUCACAGCCUACUACUCUGUCCCUCAAGCGUCUUCCAACUUGCACCCUUGAGCAAGAAAGUGCAAACGUUGUGAUUCAAACUGUAGCAGUUGUCCCCUCUAUAUCCCUCCCAUCCCACCCUUUCGGUGUGCUCCCAAGAACAAGGACGACUGCCUACUGCCAGUAUCCAUCUCUGAGCCCGAGGCCUCUUUCUGGAACUAUGCAAAGCUCUCUGCCAGGGACCAACAGUCCCCCUCCCAGCAGCCUUCAAC
rnacentral:lncRNA from 1 species